GAUGAACGCUGGCGGCGUGCUUAACACAUGCAAGUCGAACGAACGACUAUUAACAGAACCUUUCGGGGCGAAGAUGAUAGAAGUUAGUGGCGGACGGGUGCGUAACGCGUGGGUAAUCUGCCUUUGUCAAAGGAAUAACUAUUCGAAAGAAUAGCUAAAACCGUAUAACAUAUUAAUAGGGCAUCCUAAUAAUAUCAAAACGAUAGUGGACAAAGAUGAGCCCGCGUCUGAUUAGCUAGUUGGUGAGAUAAAAGCCCACCAAGGCAACGAUCAGUAGCCGACCUGAGAGGGUGAACGGCCACAUUGGAACUGAGACACGGUCCAAACUCCUACGGGAGGCAGCAGUGGGGAAUAUUGCACAAUGGGGGGAACCCUGAUGCAGCAACGCCGCGUGAGUGAAGAAGGCAUUCGUGUCGUAAAACUCUGUAGUAGGGGAAGAAAGAAAGGACAGUACCCUAAAAGAAAGCCCC
rnacentral:rRNA from 1 species